rnacentral:rRNA from 1 species
GACGAACGCUGGCGGCGUGCUUAACACAUGCGAGUCGAACGGAAAGGCCCUGCUUUUGUGGGGUGCUCGAGUGGCGAACGGGUGAGUAACACGUGAGUAACCUGCCCUUGACUUUGGGAUAACUUCAGGAAACUGGGGCUAAUACCGGAUAGGAGCUCCUGCUGCAUGGUGGGGGUUGGAAAGUUUCGGCGGUUGGGGAUGGACUCGCGGCUUAUCAGCUUGUUGGUGGGGUAGUGGCUUACCAAGGCUUUGACGGGCAGCCGGCCUGAGAGGGUGACCGGCCACAUUGGGACUGAGAUACGGCCCAGACUCCUACGGGAGGCAGCAGUGGGGAAUAUUGCACAAUGGGCGGAAGCCUGAUGCAGCAACGCCGCGUGCGGGAUGACGGCCUUCGGGUUGUAAACCGCUUUCGCCUGUGACGAAGCGUGAGUGACGGUAAUGGGUAAAGAAGCACCGGCUAACUACGUG